AACGAACGCUGGCGGCGUGCCUAACACAUGCAAGUCGAGCGCGAAAGUUCCUUCGGGAGCGAGUAGAGCGGCGGACGGGUGAGUAAUACAUAGGUAAUCUACCUUCGAGCUUGGGAUAACCCCGCGAAAGUGGGGCUAAUACCGGAUAAGACCACGUAAUUAUUUUACGGGGUAAAAGGUGGCUUAUUUUUUAAAUGAGCUAUCACUUGAGGAUGAGCCUGUGGCCGAUCAGCUAGUUGGCGGGGUAAGAGCCCACCAAGGCUAUGACGGGUAGCUGGUCUGAGAGGACGACCAGCCACACUGGGACUGAGACACGGCCCAGACUCCUACGGGAGGCAGCAGUGGGGAAUAUUGGGCAAUGGGCGAAAGCCUGACCCAGCGACGCCGCGUGGGCGAUGAAGGCCUUCGGGUCGUAAAGCCCUGUCAUGCGGAAAGAACGACCCUGAGACGCAUACUCUCAGGGAGUGACGGUACCGCAGGAGGAAGCACCGGCUAACUCCGUGCCAGCAGCCGCGGUAA
rnacentral:rRNA from 1 species